GAUGAAGAACGUAGCGAAAUGCGAUAAGUAGUGUGAAUUGCAGAAUUCAGUGAAUCAUCGAAUCUUUGAACGCACAUUGCGCCCCUUGGUAUUCCAUGGGGCAUGCCUGUUCGAGCGUCAUUUGUACCUUCAAGCUUUGCUUGGUGUUGGGUGUUUGUCUCGCCUUUGCGUGUAGACUCGCCUUAAAAUAAUUGGCAGCCGGCGUAUUGAUUUCGGAGCGCAGUACAUCUCGUGCUUUGCACUCAUAACGACAGCGUCCAAAAGUACAUUUUACACUCUUGACCUCGGAUCAGGUAGGGAUACCCGCUGAACUUAAGCAUAUCAAUAAGCGGAGGA
rnacentral:misc_RNA from 1 species